rnacentral:rRNA from 1 species
CAAUAGCGUAUAUUAAAGUUGUUGCGGUUAAAAAGCUCGUAGUUGGAUUUCUGCCGAGGACGACCGGUCCGCCCUCUGGGUGAGUAUCUGGCUCGGCCUGGGCAUCUUCUUGGAGAACGUAGCUGCACUUGACUGUGUGGUGCGGUAUCCAGGACUUUUACUUUGAGGAAAUUAGAGUGUUUCAAGCAGGCUUACGCCUUGAAUACAUUAGCAUGGAAUAAUAAGAUAGGACCUCGGUUCUAUUUUGUUGGUUUCUAGAGCUGAGGUAAUGAUUAAUAGGGAUAGUUGGGGGCAUUCGUAUUUAACUGUCAGAGGUGAAAUUCUUGGAUUUAUGAAAGACGAACUUCUGCGAAAGCAUUUGCCAAGGAUGUUUNCAUUAA